UACGUAGGGUGCAAGCGUUAAUCGGAAUUACUGGGCGUAAAGCGUGCGCAGGCGGUUUUGUAAGUCUGACGUGAAAUCCCCGGGCUCAACCUGGGAAUUGCGUUGGAGACUGCAAGGCUGGAGUCUGGCAGAGGGGGGGUAGAAUUCCACGUGUAGCAGUGAAAUGCGUAGAGAUGUGGAGGAACACCGAUGGCGGAGGCGGCAUCCUGGACCGACACUGACACUGAGGAGCGAAAGCCAGGGGAGCAAACGGG
rnacentral:rRNA from 1 species